rnacentral:rRNA from 1 species
GACGAACGCUGGCGGCGUGCUUAACACAUGCAAGUCGAACGGAAAGGCCCUGCUUUUGUGGGGUGCUCGAGUGGCGAACGGGUGAGUAACACGUGAGUAACCUGCCCUUGACUUUGGGAUAACUUCAGGAAACUGGGGCUAAUACCGGAUAGGAGCUCCUGCUGCAUGGUGGGGGUUGGAAAGUUUCGGCGGUUGGGGAUGGACUCGCGGCUUAUCAGCUUGUUGGUGGGGUAGUGGCUUACCAAGGCUUUGACGGGUAGCCGGCCUGAGAGGGUGACCGGCCACAUUGGGACUGAGAUACGGACCAGACUCCUACGGGAGGCAGCAGUGGGGAAUAUUGCACAGUGGGCGGAAGCCUGAUGCAGCAACGCCGCGUGCGGGAUGACGGCCUUCGGGUUGUAAACCGCUUCCGCCUGUGACGAAGCGUGAGUGACGGUAAUGGGUAAAGAAGCACCGGCUAACUACGUG